rnacentral:rRNA from 1 species
UACGUAGGGGGCUAGCGUUGUCCGGAAUCAUUGGGCGUAAAGAGCGCGUAGGCGGCCAGAUAAGUCCGGUGUGAAAGUCACAGGCUCAACCUGGGAACUGCAUCUGAUACUGGAUGGCUUGAAUCCGGGAGAGGGAUGCAGAAUUCCAGGUGUAGCGGUGAAAUGCGUAGAUAUCUGGAGGAAUACCGGUGGCGAAGGCGGCAUCCUGGACCGGCAUUGACGCUGAGGAGCGAAAGCUAGGGGAGCAAACGGG